CAGGCUUAACACAUGCAAGUCGAGGGGCAGCAUGUGGUGCUGCAACCAAUGAUGGCGACCGGCGCACGGGUGAGUAACGCGUAAUCCAACCUUCCCUAUAGUAGAGGAUAGCCCGGCGAAAGUCGGAUUAAUACUCUAUGUUUUCCAAUAGCAGACAUCUAAAAUGGACAAAGGUUCACCGCUAUAGGAUGGGGAUGCGUCUGAUUAGAUAGUCGGCGGGGUAACGGCCACCGAGUCGACGAUCAGUAGGGGUUCUGAGAGGAAGGUCCCCCACAUUGGAACUGAGACACGGUCCAAACUCCUACGGGAGGCAGCAGUGAGGAAUAUUGGUCAAUGGGCGAGAGCCUGAACCAGCCAAGUAGCCGUGCAGGAUGACGGCCCUAUGGGUUGUAAACUGCUUUUAUACAGGGAUAAAGUGACGUACGUGUACGUUUUUGUAGGUACUGUAUGAAUAAGGACCGGCUAAUUCCGUGCCAGCCGCCGC
rnacentral:rRNA from 1 species